AUGUGUCACCUGGAGGAGACACAAUCAUACAUCAUUGUGGCUAAAUCAUCAUCAGAGAGGAAUGGGCAUAAUUUCCUGGCUUGCUGAAGACAUUUCUUGCCGACACUGCUAUUUAUAUAUCUAGGAGAGACUGAGUGUAAUAGCCACAGAAUCGCCAGAAGGGAAAGCUGAACGAUGUAUCAAUGGAGGACAAUGAGGGAGUUUUAUAUGUACAGUAAAUCAUUUCAAGCCAAAAUAAGGACUCUUAAAGAAGACUUGUACCCA